rnacentral:rRNA from 1 species
GAUGAACGCUGGCGGCGUGCCUAAUACAUGCAAGUCGAGCGAACGGACGAGAAGCUUGCUUCUCUGAUGUUAGCGGCGGACGGGUGAGUAACACGUGGAUAACCUACCUAUAAGACUUGGAUAACUUCGGGAAACCGGAGCUAAUACCGGAUAAUAUUUUGAACCGCAUGGUUCAAAAGUGAAAGACGGUCUUGCUGUCACUUAUAGAUGGAUCCGCGCUGCAUUAGCUAGUUGGUAAGGUAACGGCUUACCAAGGCAACGAUGCAUAGCCGACCUGAGAGGGUGAUCGGCCACACUGGAACUGAGACACGGUCCAGACUCCUACGGGAGGCAGCAGUAGGGAAUCUUCCGCAAUGGGCGAAAGCCUGACGGAGCAAAGCCGCGUGAGUGAUGAAGGUCUUCGGAUCGUAAAACUCUGUUAUUAGGGAAGAACAUAUGUGUAAGUAACUGUGCACAUCUUGACGGUACCUAAUCAGAAAGCCACGGCUAACUACGUG